AUUGAACGCUGGCGGCAGGCCUAACACAUGCAAGUCGAGCGGAUGAAGGGAGCUUGCUCCUGGAUUCAGCGGCGGACGGGUGAGUAAUGCCUGGGAAUCUGCCUGGUAGUGGGGGAUAACGUCCGGAAACGGGCGCUAAUACCGCAUACGUCCUGAGGGAGAAAGUGGGGGAUCUUCGGACCUCACGCUAUCAGAUGAGCCUAGGUCGGAUUAGCUAGUUGGUGGGGUAAAGGCCUACCAAGGCGACGAUCCGUAACUGGUCUGAGAGGAUGAUCAGUCACACUGGAACUGAGACAACGUCCAGUCUCCUACGGGAGGCAGCAGUGGGGAAUAUUGGACAAUGGGCGAAAGCCUGAUCCAGCCAUGCCGCGUGUGUGAAGAAGGUCUUCGGAUUGUAAAGCACUUUAAGUUGGGAGGAAGGGCAGUAAGUUAAUACCUUGCUGUUUUGACGUUACCAACAGAAUAAGCACCGGCUAACUUCGUG
rnacentral:rRNA from 1 species